UACGUAGGGUGCGAGCGUUGUCCGGAAUUAUUGGGCGUAAAGAGCUUGUAGGCGGUCUGUCGCGUCUGCUGUGAAAAUCCGGGGCUCAACCCCGGACUUGCAGUGGGUACGGGCAGACUAGAGUGUGGUAGGGGAGACUGGAAUUCCUGGUGUAGCGGUGAAAUGCGCAGAUAUCAGGAGGAACACCGAUGGCGAAGGCAGGUCUCUGGGCCGAUACUGACGCUCAUGCACGAAAGCGUGGGGAGCGAACAGG
rnacentral:rRNA from 1 species